rnacentral:rRNA from 1 species
CAGUAGCCGCGGGAAUACGAAGGGGGCUAGCGUUGCUCGGAAUCACUGGGCGUAAAGGGUGCGUAGGCGGGUCUUUAAGUCAGGGGUGAAAUCCUGGAGCUCAACUCCAGAACUGCCUUUGAUACUGAAGAUCUUGAGUUCGGGAGAGGUGAGUGGAACUGCGAGUGUAGAGGUGAAAUUCGUAGAUAUUCGCAAGAACACCAGUGGCGAAGGCGGCUCACUGACCCGAUACUGACGCUGAGGCACGAAAGCGUGGGGAGCAAACAGGAUUAGAUACCCCCGUAGUCCCUGUCUCUUAUAC